CCUACGGGUGGCAGCAGUGAGGAAUAUUGGUCAAUGGACGAGAGUCUGAACCAGCCAAGUAGCGUGAAGGAUGACUGCCCUAUGGGUUGUAAACUUCUUUUAUAAAGGAAUAAAACGAGGCACGUGUGCCUUUUUGCAUGUACUUUAUGAAUAAGGAUCGGCUAACUCCGUGCCAGCAGCCGCGGUAAUACGGAGGAUCCGAGCGUUAUCCGGAUUUAUUGGGCUUAAAGGGAGCGUAGAUGGGUUGUUAAGUCAGUUGUGAAAGUUUGCGGCUCAACCGUAAAAUUGCAAUUGAUACUGGCAGUCUUGAGUACAGUUGAGGUAGGUGGAAUUCGUGGUGUAGCGGUGAAAUGCGUAGAUAUCACGAAGAACCCUGAUUGCGAAGGCAGCUUACUAAACUGUGACUGACAUUGAUGCUCGAAAGUGUGGGGAUCAAACAGGAUUAGAUACCCUUGUAGUC
rnacentral:rRNA from 1 species